rnacentral:lncRNA from 10 species
AUUUUACAGAAGAAUUGGUUUGCCAAGGUGGAAAGAGAAGCUCAUCAGUGACGUGACUUAGCCAAAAGCACUGGUUAUACCUCUAUACCUCGGAGCCGACACUGAAAGCCCCGGCCAUAGUCUUUCUGCCCCAAGGAAAGCCUGGGGUGGGGGUGGGUGAUAUUGUCAAGAGCCAGGCCCCAGCUCCUCAUACACACAGCUCAUUUGCUCUCCCUCCCAACCCCCACCUUCAUACUUCUUCCACACGCAUACCAAAGAAAAUAAGAAUCUCAAGGUUGGAAAAUCCCACUUUACUUCAAGUGAAGUCACUGGGUUGUCCCCAUGAAAUAUCUCCACAAUGGGUGUGCUAGACCUUUACUCUCUGUGGCACCACCAAGACCCCCUCACCCUGCCAGAGCCCUCUGAAGUGUACUCAGAAUGGAGGGGCUGGAAGUGGGGCCAGUGGUCCUGGUAGUCAGCCUCCCCUUCUGACACAAGAAUUAUCGUGGAACAGCUUGUGUGACCGAUCAACUGGUCUCUCCAUCUUUAAGCCAUUGUCUUGUUGACUCUGUUACUGCAGAGUUUGGGGAGGUCUCAUGGCUUCUCGCAUCCUAUUUCCUGAGCUUCCCUGAAGCCAACUUCUGGCCACUGGUAUGUGAUGCGAGCACAGUGCCUCCUCCUGCUCCUCCAGGAAGCUUCUGCUGAUUGAACGCAGGCCAGAUGGCGAGAUCCGGAGCAACCUUCUUAGAUCAAGGGAAGAAAGGGGCACAAGAGGGGAGUAGGUAACAAGAUAAAAGGAGCUCCCUCCCUGAUGACUACAGAGCCAUCGUGGCAGCCCUGGGCCUCCAUUUCAGACGUUCAUCUUGCCUAAGCCACCACCAUCAGGGUCUCAGUCAGUCAUCAUUCUCAUUUACUCGGGUGGCUGGGUGAGGGCGGAAUACUACCUUCCAGCUGUCUGAGAUUAAGCCUAAGCCACCACCAUCAGGGUCUCAGUCAGUCAUCAUUCUCAUUUACUCGGGUGGCUGGGCGAGGGCGGAAUACUACCUUCCAGCUGUCUGAGAUUAAGCAGAACAGCAGCUAAAGCAGUAACAGCAGGUCUCCUUCAGCAGCUUGCCACAGGGAAGAGGGUCCCGCGUGAACCGAACUCAACUUCCACCUGCGCAGAGGUAGCUACCAUUUGCGUAGAGGUAGCUGGGUCUUUAAGGUUAGAGGGAAGGCGCAGGGAGGGAGAGACGGCGGGUGGGGGUUGAACAAAGUGGAGAUUCACAAAAGCAGACUAGGGCGGGCGACGUGAUCAGAUGACCUGUGCGGGCGGCAGCCUCCUGCCCUCCUCCCCUUCGUGCGCCGGCUGGAGCGAAGAGUUCUUUUGACAGCCGUGAGCUUCCCCGCCAGGAACUUACUGGGGCUGCAUCACCCUAGAAACGUGGCUUUGGGCUGUGGAAACGCUGCCUCUGUGGAAGUCUCUCCUCGCGGGGGUGGACGGGUCGCUGCGCGCCCAGCGUUCUUCUGCGGUUCUCACAGCCCGCCGCCGCCGCCGCCUCGGGGACCUUUGCGGGGAGGCCUCAGGGCACCUUCCUCCUCUCUCUCAGGCACGUCCUCGACCUCAGUUGCCACGUGCACAUGCUGGUGCCUUCCAGGUCGGUCUUUCUCCACCAGACUCCACCUGGAACUUUCUUCCUUUUCGUCCUGUGCUGGCCUAACCCCUGCUCGGCCUCGGCCCUCAGCUGCCGGCUCUAACAAAGCCUCUGUCUUUCCCAGACCCCUGUGACCAGGCUGGAGUAUAGUGGCAUGAUCAUAGAUCACUGCAGCCUCAAACUCCUGGGCUCAAGCGAUCCUCCCACCUCAGCCUCCAUAUAGCUGGUGGGGACCAAGUUUCUAACACAUGAAUGUUGGGAGACACAUUCAGACCAUCGCAGUGGCCUUAUAAAAAGAGACACAAGAGCUUGCUCUCUGCCAUGUGAGAAUACCACAAGAAGACUGUCCUCAGCAAAUCAGAAAGCGGGUGGACCCUCAUCAGACACCAGAUGUGCCUGCACCUUGAUCUUGGACUUGCCAGCCUUCAGAACAGUAAGAAAGAAAUGUGUGUUGUUUAAGCCACCCAGUCUAUGGUAACUUGCUAUAGCAGCCCACUAGGAGACCCCAAGAUAUUUAAAAACUCAUCAGCACCUGCUUUCUGCAUCUGGACCCUGAUCUUCUGGCCAUCAGCUGGAUGAAGAAUUAAUUUAGUAAGCAUGAAACAGCUUGCAAAGCAUUGGUGAGUGGCUGAGGGCCAUGAAACGAGACCACCGUGUGGCCCAUCUCUGAAGAUGAAUCCAACAGCAGUGACUCUACCUGCGUCCUCCCCAUCUUUUCUGCUUUUUCAUACAAUGGCUUAUUCACUGCGUGUGACAUCAUCACUAGCACUGUGUUUAUCUAUCACAUUUCUUCUGUUUUGUGGGUUUGUUUUGCAUUAAAGGUCUACUUCUCUGAGCUUUGAGCUGUAAGGCUUGACUGUGAGCAGCAACUGAAGAGUGUGGCACCUCACACUCGGUAGGAAGAAGCUGAAUGACAGAUGUCGGCAGUGAGGGUGGGGAAAGCAGCCAGGUACCAAGCAGCUGUUUUUUAGGCUAACCAUUGAAGGGAAGCUCCUAAUCCCUGAGUUAACUUUUAGCAGAGAUUAACUCAGUCUAUCUAUUGGGAUGUAAAGGAUUUGGGCAUAAAGGUAUGUUAAUUCGGAGGCUCUGGAAUGUAUAACAAUUUCUCCCAUUGAAAUUUAUGAUAAUUAAGUGUUCAACUUACUGGAAUUUUCCCCACAAGACUCUUCUGGGAUGAAUUUGCCUUGGGGAGAAGACUACGUAACUGAAAACCAGCAUCCAGGCCCUCAAGAAGAAAUAUAAUCUCCAACAGUCUCCUUUUCAAUUUCUGUCAAAUGUCUGGCUUCUCUUGAAGGGAUGUUCACGAGAAGGGACAGCCGCCCUCCUCCGAGCCUCCUGUUUCAGCUGAUGCACCUUCAAGUACAAGGUCCUGUUCUUGGGCUCUGUUAAAGUUUCCCUCAAGAAAAAAACCUUACAUUUGCCAAUGCACUUGAUGUAAAGUUGUUGAGGAUGUUGACUCUCCUUUAAACAUUUAUUGAAGCUAGGAAUAAACUUAACUGGACCUGUGUAUAGGAAAUCUUAAAUUUCUACUAAGAGAUGAAAAAAAGAAUUCCCUUCCCUUCCUUAACAAUUCAGCUCCCGUUACACAAAACCAAACAAGAUGGGAUUCUGUUGUGGGGGGACAGAACUUCAUUGUCCUGAAGCUAGGUGUUGGAGCCCAAGCAGGGUGAGGAGGGAGUCAAGGAGGCCCAUGUGGUGGUGGAGCAUGGCCUGGCAUGGGUCUCAGUGCCCAAGCAAGGUGAAGAGGGGACCAUGCAGGGAGUGAGGGUGUCACUGCCCAAGUGAGGUGAGUAGGGCAAUUUUGAAAAGUCAUGAAAGUUGAGGAAGGGCUGAGGCACCAUUCUAGAUUGAAGGAGACUAAAAAGAUGCAACACUCACAAUGCACAAUUCUAAACUGAAAUCUUUGCUCUAAAGGACAUUAGGACAAUGAAAGAAACUUGCACGGGGUCUGAGCAUUAGGUAGUAGUAAUGAAUUGAUGUUGAGUCCCUAAUUUUCAUGGUUGUAUGCUGAUGAUGUAGGAGGUUCUUGUAGGAAAUACACACUCAAAAGUAUUCUGAGGUGAUGGGGCAUCAUAUCAGAAGCUUAUUCUCAAAUGGUUCAGGAAGGAAAAAGUUUUAUACUAUACUUCUUUGGCAAGUUUAGAUUGUUUCAAAAUAAAAUUUUUUUAAAAAGAGCAUUUGUUAACCAUCAGUUUGGUAAAAGGUGAAAAAUGUUGAUAAUACCUAGUGUUUGUGAAGGUGUGGAGAAACAAAGUUUCAUACACUAUUGUCAAAAGUAUAAAUUGUUACAAUAUUUUUGGAGAGCAAUUUUCCAGUAUGUAGCAAAAAUUUAAAAGCAAAUCUUAACUCAGCAAUUCUGCCUUUAGAAAUGUAUUUGUAGGAUAACAUACAGGAGAGAAAAAUGUAUUUUACUGCAACACUGUUGAUACUAACAAAAACUGGAAACCACCAAAACAUUUAUCAUGAGGGGGUUAAGUAAAGUAUGGUAUAACUAUACAAUGAGUGUACUAGGAAACCCUUAGAAAGAAUGCAGAAAGAUGUAUGUGGACUUUUACAGAAAGGUGAGCUACUGUCUAAAUGCAAAUGUGCCAAUAUCAUGUAUAUACAGUCAGGUUCCUUUUGUUAAAAACCAAAAGCGUAUGUUUAGAAGCAAAAGCACUCAUAUAAAGGCCUGGUAUAGAGCAGUGGCUAAAAACAGUGCCAAGAUACUGCCUCAACUUCCUCUCACAUGCUGCCCUGG